UGUUGGUUCUCCCGCAACGCUACUCUGUUUACCAGGUCAGGUCCGGAAGGAAGCAGCCAGAGCAGACGAUGUGUGUGCCGGGAUGUAGCUGGCAGGG
rnacentral:SRP_RNA from 1 species